rnacentral:rRNA from 1 species
AUUAGACUACCCGGUAGUCCUAGCCGUAAACGAUACUCGCUAGGUGUCGGCCACGGUGCGACCGUUGUCGGUGCCGUAGGGAAGCCGUGAAGCGAGCCACCGUGGGAAGUACCGGCCGCAAGGCUAGAAACUUAAAGGAAUUGGCGGGGAGCACCACAACGGGUGGAGCUUGCGGUUUAAUUGGAUUCAACGCCGGAAAUCUUACCGGGACCGACAGCAACAUGAAGGCCAGGCUGAAGACUUUGCCGGAUUAGCUG